AAUUUAACAAGCUGCCUUUAGUGUGGCACACAAUGGAGACGUGUGCCCACACCUCCACGAGCGGUUGACUUCUUAGCCCGCCUCCAUCAAGCUGACUCCUCAGUGCAAUUUGAAGGAAGAUACGAAGACACACAGCAGCCAAGGAAUAAGCCAUGCGACCAUCCAUCUCUGUGACUCUUGAGCCUGCGUUGGAGCGAGGGGUCCCAUGGGGUCGUGAUCUCUACACCUUUGUAACUUCAGCAGCGGGCCACAUGAUGAGGACUCUUCAGAAACCCCGAAAAAAACGACCGUCCAAACGGCAGGUCAACCACCGUCGCUUCCUGCACAACAUGAUCCAGAGGUGUGUGGGAGCACCAGAAUGGCACUGAUAGUAAAAUGCUUCACAUUAUGUUUAUUGAUUUUCCCCAAAUUUUAUUUGAGAUACUGGAUAC